GAUUUCUGGUUUGGUGCGCUUGGCCCGCCACCGUCAGGUGUGUGAGUGCCGAUGCGCGCUUGCCAUCUUGUCGUCUGGAGAACGUUCCUGCCCUUGACUGGGUUGGGUUCGCAAUCCAGAACUUUUACUUUGAAAAAAUUAGAGUGUUUAAAGCAGGCGUUUUUUGCUAUGAAUACAUUAGCAUGGAAUAAUAAUUUAGGACUUGAGUCUUAUUUUGUUGGUUUCUAGGACUGAAGUAAUGAUUGAUAGGGACAGUUGGGGGUGCUAGUAUUCAGCGGCCAGAGGUGAAAUUCUUGGAUUCGCUGAAGACUAACUUAUGCGAAAGCAUU
rnacentral:rRNA from 1 species